CAGCGCCACGAGCGGCGAUCAGCAUUACUGGGCCUAAAGCGUCCGUAGCCGGUCUGGAAAAUUCUUUGUGAAAUCGUCGGGCUUAACUCGACGGCGUGCAGAGGACACUUCCAGACUAGAGACCGGUGAGGAGUCAGAGGAAUUCGAGGGGGAGCGGUAAAAUGCAAUAAUCCUUCGAAGACCACCUGUGGCGAAGGCGUCUGACUAGAACGGAUCCGACGGUGAGGGACGAAAGCCAGGGGAGCGAACCGGAUUAGAGACCCGAGUAGUCC
rnacentral:rRNA from 1 species